rnacentral:rRNA from 1 species
UACGGAGGUCUCAAGCGUUGUUCGGAUUCAUUGGGCGUAAAGGGUGCGUAGGUGGCGCUGUAAGUCGGGUGUGAAAUCUCGGAGCUUAACUCCGAAACUGCAUUCGAUACUGCCGUGCUUGAGGACUGGAGAGGAGACUGGAAUUUACGGUGUAGCGGUGAAAUGCGUAGAUAUCGUAAGGAAGACCAGUGGCGAAGGCGGGUCUCUGGACAGUUCCUGACGCUGAGGCACGAAGGUCAGGGGAGCAAACGGG